AGCUUGCUCUUAUGAAGUUAGCGGCGGACGGGUGAGUAACACGUGGGUAACCUGCCCAUAAGACUGGGAUAACUCCGGGAAACCGGGGCUAAUACCGGAUAACAUUUUGAACCGCAUGGUUCGAAAUUGAAAGGCGGCUUCGGCUGUCACUUAUGGAUGGACCCGCGUCGCAUUAGCUAGUUGGUGAGGUAACGGCUCACCAAGGCAACGAUGCGUAGCCGACCUGAGAGGGUGAUCGGCCACACUGGGACUGAGACACGGCCCAGACUCCUACGGGAGGCAGCAGUAGGGAAUCUUCCGCAAUGGACGAAAGUCUGACGGAGCAACGCCGCGUGAGUGAUGAAGGCUUUCGGGUCGUAAAACUCUGUUGUUAGGGAAGAACAAGUGCUAGUUGAAUAAGCUGGCACCUUGACGGUACCUAACCAGAAAGCCACGGCUAACUACGUGCCAGCAGCCGCGGUAAUACGUAGGUGGCAAGCGUUAUCCGGAAUUAUUGGGCGUAAAGCGCGCGCAGGUGGUUUCUUAAGUCUGAUGUGAAAGCCCACGGCUCAACCGUGGAGGGUCAUUGGAAACUGGGGAGACUUGAGUGCAGAAGAGGAAAGUGGAAUUCCAUGUGUAGCGGUGAAAUGCGUAGAGAUUUGGGAAGGAACACCAGUGGCGAAGGCCACUUUCUUGUCUGUAACUGACCCUGAGGCGCGAAGGCGUGGGGACCAAACCGGAAUGAGAUACCCUGGGUUUUCCCGGCCGUAAACUA
rnacentral:rRNA from 1 species